rnacentral:rRNA from 1 species
UGCGGCAGCGACACAAUGUGUUGUUGGGUAGGGGAGCGUUCUGUAAGCCUGCGAAGGUGUACUGUGAGGUAUGCUGGAGGUAUCAGAAGUGCGAAUGCUGACAUAAGUAACGAUAAUGCGGGUGAAAAACCCGCACGCCGGAAGACCAAGGGUUCCUGUCCAACGUUAAUCGGGGCAGGGUGAGUCGACCCCUAAGGCGAGGCUGAAAAGCGUAGUCGAUGGGAAACGGGUUAAUAUUCCCGUACUGGUGGUAACUGCGAUGGGGGAACGGAGAAGGCUAGGUUGUCCGGGCGACGGUCGUCCCGGUUCAAGCAGGUAGGCAGAGUGAUUAGGCAAAUCCGGUCACUUAAUGCUGAGAUGUGAUGACGAACCACCAAGGUGGUGAAGCAAUUGAUGCCCCGCUUCCAGGAAAAGCCUCUAAGCUUCAGGUUACCAACAAUCGUACCCCAAACCGACACAGGUGGUCAGGUAGAGAAUACUCAGGCGCUUGAGAGAACUCGGGUGAAGGAACUAGGCAAAAUGGUGCCGUAACUUCGGGAGAAGGCACGCUGGCGGUAGGUAAAGUCCCUCGCGGACAGAGCUGAAGCCAGUCGAAGAUACCAGCUGGCUGCAACUGUUUAUUAAAAACACAGCACUGUGCAAACACGAAAGUGGACGUAUACGGUGUGACGCCUGCCCGGUGCUGGAAGGUUAAUUGAUGGGGUUAGCGCAAGCGAAGCUCCUGAUCGAAGCCCCAGUAAACGGCGGCCGUAACUAUAACGGUCCUAAGGUAGCGAAAUUCCUUGUCGGGUAAGUUCCGACCUGCACGAAUGGCGUAAUGAUGGCCAGGCUGUCUCCACCCGAGACUCAGUGAAAUUGAACUCGCUGUGAAGAUGCAGUGUACCCGCGGCAAGACGGAAAGACCCCGUGAACCUUUACUAUAGCUUGACACUGAACAUUGAGCCUUGAUGUGUAGGAUAGGUGGGAGGCUUUGAAGUGUGGACGCCAGUCUGCAUGGAGCCAACCUUGAAAUACCACCCUUUAACGUUUGAUGUUCUAACCUAGGCCCGUGAAUCCGGGUCGGGGACCGUGUCUGGUGGGUAGUUUGACUGGGGCGGUCUCCUCCUAAAGAGUAACGGAGGAGCACGAAGGUUGGCUAAGCAUGGUCGGACAUCAUGCGGUUAGUGCAAAGGCAUAAGCCAGCUUGACUGCGAGAGUGACGGCUCGAGCAGGUACGAAAGUAGGUCUUAGUGAUCCGGUGGUUCUGAAUGGAAGGGCCAUCGCUCAACGGAUAAAAGGUACUCCGGGGAUAACAGGCUGAUACCGCCCAAGAGUUCAUAUCGACGGCGGUGUUUGGCACCUCGAUGUCGGCUCAUCACAUCCUGGGGCUGAAGUAGGUCCCAAGGGUAUGGCUGUUCGCCAUUUAAAGUGGUACGCGAGCUGGGUUUAGAACGUCGUGAGACAGUUCGGUCCCUAUCUGCCGUGGGCGUUGGAAGAUUGAGAGGGGUUGCUCCUAGUACGAGAGGACCGGAGUGAACGCACCACUGGUGUUCGGGUUGUCAUGCCAAUGGCAUUGCCCGGUAGCUAAGUGCGGAAGAGAUAACCGCUGAAAGCAUCUAAGCGGGAAACUUGCCUCGAGAUGAGUCUUCCCUGUCGCUUUAAGCGACCUAAAGGAACGUUUAAGACGAAGACGUUGAUAGGCUGGGUGUGUAAGCGUAGCGAUACGUUGAGCUAACCAGUACUAAUGAACCGUGAGGCUUAACCUGACAACACCGAAGGUGUUU